rnacentral:lncRNA from 1 species
AUUCAUUGACAUAUGCAGGAGGCACAUUGCUCCUAUCAACAGCAAUCACAUAAGUUCCAUCUGUUGAUUUGGAUAUAAGCAGUGGCCUUGGUGAGUCUUUGUGCAGUCCAUCUCUCUGUUCCAUCAUUUUAGUCUUGAUGGCCAGGACACGAGAGUCCUGGUUGAUGGAGUCCUUCACGACAUCUCUAAAAUCAGUUUUUUGCUGUAUGGAUUUGACCUCUGUAUCUGAAGACUUAAAGCUUCGCGAGCUCCUCAUUGUCCUACUCCUUGCUACGACAUGCUUCUCGUUGAUGCAAGGGAGCUUCUGCUGUACUGGUUUGCUGUUGGCCAGGGGUGAUAAUGAAGAGCAGGACGACGAUGCUGAAGAUGCUCUCGAUGAUUCUGUUGAGAAGGUACUGUUCUCAGUCAUGCUUUUGCUUUUGCUUUUGCUGAACGAUUUCUCCUGCCCAAGUAAUUAGAAUCGAGUUAAAAUUAGUUUGUUCAAGGAACCCAAAAUCUAGAGUCAGGGCUGACCAACUGGGGCUUUAGUUAUAAUUAUAUCUGAAUUCUUUGCCGUUAAAAGAAGUGGUUAAAAUUACCACAGUGUUGUUUGGAUUAGCUGUGCUUUGCACCGGGGCAUGCGUGCUGCUAACCGGCAGAGUAUGGCCUGGACAACAGAAGCACAGUGUAUUAGAACUAAUAUCGAAAAGUAUAGUUAUAUAUUAUGCUUCAAGCAGGGGUGGUGCAGGUAAUUCGGAAAACUUGAACUGAUGGAGGAAAAGUGAAAUGUCUGAAAUACAAAUGAUUCUAAGAUCAAUUUCCUUUGCAUGAACAUUUUGAUUCCCAUGUAACUUCUCAUGACACUAUCUUAUAUGUGUGAAGUGAAGUUGCAUGCCUGCAGCUUGUACUAUACCAUGGGUGAUCAUUGUUCUUGUUCAUCUUCUUCCCAAUAAAGAGUCGUUUUUGCCUUGUAUUACGUUGAACAUGAAAUAAAUUUUUAAACUACUUUUGUUUGUCACCCUACAGCUUAUACUUGCAGCACUAUUAUAAUGGUACAGUUCUUUUUUCUUUUCUUUUUUUUGUACAGUUCAGUUGGUCGCCUGAUGGCUUCUUGAUUAUUUAUUUAUUUUUUUGGUAAGGAUGGAUGGCUUUCUUCAGUCGGGGGGAACAGAUGGCAAAGUAGUAAUGAAAAAGUAGCAGAGUCGAAGUACCUGCUGGAGGCAGUUCGUCCUCGUCCUUGGUUCCAGGGCAGUCACCAUGUCGUCGGCCGGUGAGAAGGCGGCGGC